CGGGUGAGUAACGCGUAGAUAAUCUAUCCUUACAUUUGGGGUAACAUCGGGAAACUGGUGCUAAUACCGAAUGGUCUUCAUUGCUUUGGGGCGAUGGAGUAAAGGUGGCCUCUUCAUGAAAGCUACCGUGUAGGGAUGAGCCUGCGUACCAUUAGCUAGUAGGUGGGGUAAUGGCCCACCUAGGCUACGAUGGUUAGCGGGUCUGAGAGGAUGAUCCGCCACACUGGAACUGAAACGACGGGACCAG
rnacentral:rRNA from 1 species